CAGCAGCCGCGGUAAUACAGAGGGUGCGAGCGUUAAUCGGAUUUACUGGGCGUAAAGCGUGCGUAGGCGGCUUUUUAAGUCGGAUGUGAAAUCCCUGAGCUUAACUUAGGAAUUGCAUUCGAUACUGGGAAGCUAGAGUAUGGGAGAGGAUGGUAGAAUUCCAGGUGUAGCGGUGAAAUGCGUAGAGAUCUGGAGGAAUACCGAUGGCGAAGGCAGCCAUCUGGCCUAAUACUGACGCUGAGGUACGAAAGCAUGGGGAGCAAACAGGAUUAGAUACCCCAGUAGUACCUGUCUCUUAUAC
rnacentral:rRNA from 1 species